GUUGUGUUGGCUCAAGUUCAGUAAAGUUGAUAGUUUGAGGUGUGCCAUUGCAGUGUGUUGCCAUUUAAGUGGAAACCAGUAGUUGGAUCUACUUGGUGAAUUUAAAGAGCUCUGGAGGUUAAAGGCCAAGCCUGAGAAGCUGAAAUGGUCUCCAGUAUUAUUGGUCAUUACCACCAGCAAAAGUUCACACACUAGAAGAGGCUGGCCGAGUGCUGAGCACUGAGAAUUGCUGCCAGCAAGGAAGCAGGGACUGGCAGUCCCAGGCAUGGAGCAUAAGCAGCAUCGUCAGGUGGACUGUGGUCACAUGAUGCCCUU